UACGGAGGAUCCGAGCGUUAUCCGGAUUUACUGGGUUUAAAGGGUGCGUAGGCGGGCGCCUAAGUCAGCGGUGAAAUGCAGCGGCUCAACCGUUGAACUGCCGUUGAAACUGGGCGCCUUGGAUGCGGUCGAGGCCGGCGGAAUGCGUGGUGUAGCGGUGAAAUGCUUAGAUAUCACGCAGAACGCCAAUUGCGAAGGCAGCUGGCCGGGCCGCAAUCGACGCUGAGGCACGAAAGCGUGGGGAUCAAACAGGAUUAGAUACCCUGGUAGUCCACGCCGUAAACGAUGAUGGCUAGCUGUUGGCGAUACACAGUCAGCGGCUGAGCGAAAGCGGUAAGCCAUCCACCUGGGGAGUACGGUCGCAAGAUUGAAACUCAAAGGAAUUGACGGGGGCCCGCACAAGCGGAGGAACAUGUGGUUUAAUUCGAUGAUACGCGAGGAACCUUACCUGGGCUAGAACGCUUCUGGAGUGUACGGGAAACCGUACAGCCCUUCGGGGCCGGGAGCGAGGUGCUGCAUGGUU
rnacentral:rRNA from 1 species